rfam:Homo sapiens chromosome 12, GRCh38 reference primary assembly.
GCCGGGCAUGGUGGCGCAUGCCUGUAGUCCCAGCUACUCGGGAGGCUGAGGCAGGAGAAUCGCUUGAACCCGGGAGGUGGAGGUUGCAGUGAGCCGAGAUCGCGCCACUGCAUUUCAGCCCAGGCGACAGAGCGAGACUCCGUCUCAA